AAUAUUGCACAAUGGGCGAAAGCCUGAUGCAGCAACGCCGCGUGAGGGACGACGGNCUNNGGGUUNUNAACCUCUUUUAGUAGNNNNNAAGCGAAAGUGCCGGUACCUGCAGAAAAAGCACCGGCUAACUACGUGCCAGCAGCCGCGGUAAUACGUAGGGUGCAAGCGUUAUCCGGAAUCAUUGGGCGUAAAGAGCUCGUAGGCGGUUUGUCACGUCUGCUGUGAAAACUGGAGGCUCAACCUCCAGCCUGCAGUGGGUACGGGCAGACUAGAGUGCGGUAGGGGAGAUUGGAAUUCCUGGUGUAGCGGUGGAAUGCGCAGGUAUCAGGAGGAACACCGAUGGCGAAGGCAGAUCUCUGGGCCGUAACUGACGCUGAGGAGCGAAAGCAUGGGGAGCGAACA
rnacentral:rRNA from 1 species